rnacentral:tRNA from 1 species
GGAAGAGUAUGCGCGUCUGGUGAUCGUCGCGGGCUUCAAACCCGUUGAGGGGUGGCAAGCCAUCCCUGGUAGGUUCAAUUCCUGCCUCUUCCGCCA